rnacentral:rRNA from 1 species
GUCUUUUUGAAUAUAAUUUAAGGUUGGGCCUGCUCAAUGACUAAGUUAAAUAGCUGCAGUAUUUUGACUGUACUAAGGUAGCAUAAUCAUUAGUUUCUUAAUUAGGAACUGGAAUGAAAGGUUUGAUGAGAAAAUAGCUGUCUCUUAUAUAAAUAUAUAAAUUUAUUUUUAAGUAAAAAGGCUUAAAUUUAAUUAAAAGACGAGAAGACCCUAUAGAGUUUAAUAAAUUUAUUAAUUUUUUAAUUAAAGUUAUUAAUUUUAAUUAAUUAUAAAAUUUAUUUGGUUGGGGUGAUUUUAAAAUUAAGGAAACUUUUAAAUUUAAUGAAACUUUAAUUUAAGACUAAUUUGAUCCAUAUUUAAUGAUUAUAAGAAUAAAUUACCUUAGGGAUAACAGCGUAAUUUUUUUUUAGAGUACAAAUCCAUAAAAAAGAUUG